AAUUCCAUCAAAGCAAGAUGAGCAACUAAAAUCAUCAGCUUCCAACGCGUUCAACGACACUACUAUAAACAUAAAAACCCUACGUCUCUCUCACUUUUCUUCAAUUCCAUCAAAGCAAGAUGAGCAACUACAAUAAUCAGCUUCAUGUUCAUGUUCGUGUUCCUCCCCCACAAGGGUAUCCUCCACCUCUCAAGGUUACACUCAACAAGGGUAUCCUCCUCAAGAGUACUAUGAGGGAAAAGGACAUGAAUGACUAACUUUCUCUUGGAGCAGGCAUUAUCCUAAGCCUCUCAUCAGAUGAUGCCUGAUUUCCCCCACUAAAUCUUUCUUCUGCUAAAAGUGACUGCAAAUCACUCCCA